GAAUAUUGCACAAUGGGCGAAAGCCUGAUGCAGCGACGCCGCGUGAGUGAAGAAGGCCUUCGGGUCGUAAAACUCUGUCCUAAGGGACGAUAAUGACGGUACCUUAGGAGGAAGCCCCGGCUACCUACGUGCCAGCAGCCGCGGUAAUACGUAGGGGGCGAGCGUUGUCCGGAAUUACCGGGCGUAAAGGGUGCGUAGGCGGGUCAUUAAGUAAGAUGUGAAAGGUUACGGUUAAACCGUAGAAAGCAUUUGAAACUGAUGAGCUUGAGUUAGGGAGAGGAAAGUGGAAUUCCUAGGGUAGCGGUGAAAGGCGUAGUUAUUAGGAGGAAAACCAGUGGCGAAGGCGACUUUCUGGCCUUAACUGACGCUGAGGCACGAAAGCGUGGGGAGCAAACA
rnacentral:rRNA from 1 species